UAUUUAAAAGUCCAUUGGAGAUUAUGGGGUCGUGUGACAAGCGGUCGGGCGUGUUGCUUUUGGUCUUCACGGCCAGGGCGCCGCCCGUCGCCCCCGGAAAAGAUUUCUGUGCGUCGGCGUCGUAUGCGAGACUUCGGUCCCGUAUCGUCCCGCGUACGCCUUUUUCGGCUCGCGGCAUCCAGGAAUGAAGGAGGGUAGUCCGGGGGAGAACGUAUUGGUGCGUCAGAGGUGAAAUUCUUGGACCGCACCAGGACGGACUACAGCGAAGGCAUUCUUCAAGAAUACCUUCCUCAAUCAAGAACCAAAGUGUGGGGAUCGAAGAU
rnacentral:rRNA from 1 species